rnacentral:lncRNA from 1 species
CUGGCUCUCCAUAGGGGUCCCCAUUCACUAUCACUAGGGCAUAUGAUACCAUCUCUUCGAAGCCAUAUCAUUCUGGUUGCCUGACGUUCCUUUUGGGCUUAUGCAGUGUAACCCCGAUAUCCAUCCUAGGUUCAGUUUGCUCCUGCUGGACCUUCUGACUUCUUUCAUUCAUUCGAGCUCUCUCUACUUAUGGAGACACCUUUAGAAAGUGCUCCACCUGAAUACCAAGUCC